CGGAGGUGCAAGCGUUAAUCGGAAUUACUGGGCGUAAAGCGCACGCAGGCGGUUUGUUAAGUCAGAUGUGAAAUCCCCGGGCGUCAACCUGGGAACGUGCAUUUUGAAACUAGGCAAGCUAGAGUCUCGUAGAGGGGGUAGGAAUUCCAGGUGUAGCGGUGAAAUGCGUAGAGAUCUGGAGGAAUACCGGUGGCGAAGGCGGCCCCUGGACGAAGACUGACGCUCAGGUGCGAAAGCGUGGGGAGCAAACAGGAUU
rnacentral:rRNA from 1 species